GAUGAACGCUGGCGGCGUGCCUAAUACAUGCAAGUCGAGCGAACAGAUGAGGAGCUUGCUCCCCUGACGUUAGCGGCGGACGGGUGAGUAACACGUGGAUAACCUACCUAUAAGACUGGGAUAACUUCGGGAAACCGGAGCUAAUACCGGAUAAUAUAUUGAACCGCAUGGUUCAAUAGUGAAAGACGGUUUUGCUGUCACUUAUAGAUGGAUCCGCGCCGCAUUAGCUAGUUGGUAAGGUAACGGCUUACCAAGGCAACGAUGCGUAGCCGACCUGAGAGGGUGAUCGGCCACACUGGAACUGAGACACGGUCCAGACUCCUACGGGAGGCAGCAGUAGGGAACCUUCCGCAAUGGGCGAAAGCCUGACGGAGCAACGCCGCGUGAGUGAUGAAGGUCUUCGGAUCGUAAAACCCUGUUAUUAGGGAAGAACAAAUGUGUAAGUAACUAUGCACGUCUUGACGGUACCUAAUCAGAAAGCCACGGCUAACUACGUG
rnacentral:rRNA from 1 species